rnacentral:rRNA from 1 species
UACGUAGGGUGCAAGCGUUAAUCGGAAUUACUGGGCGUAAAGCGUGCGCAGGCGGUUGUGCAAGACAGAUGUGAAAAUCCCCCGGGCUCAACCCGGGGAAUUGCGCUUGAGACUGGGCUGGCUUGAGUGCGGCAGAGGGGGGUGGAAUUCCACGUGUAGCAGUGAAAUGCGUAGAGAGUGUGGAGGAACACCAGAUGGCCGGAAGGCAGCCCCC